CUGCGGAGGAUCAUUACCGAGUGAGGGCCCUCUGGGUCCAACCUCCCACCCAUGUUUAUUGUACCUUGUUGCUUCGGCGGGCCCGCCUCACGGCCGCCGGGGGGCUUCUGCCCUCUGGCCCGCGCCCGCCGAAGACACCAUUGAACACUGUCUGAAGAUUGCAGUCUGAGCAAUUAGCUAAAUAAGUUAAAACUUUCAACAACGGAUCUCUUGGUUCCGGCAUCGAUGAAGAACGCAGCGAAAUGCGAUACGUAAUGUGAAUUGCAGAAUUCAGUGAAUCAUCGAGUCUUUGAACGCACAUUGCGCCCCUUGGUAUUCCGGGGGGCAUGCCUGUCCGAGCGUCAUUGCUGCCCUCAAGCACGGCUUGUGUGUUGGGCCCCGUCCUCCUUCCCGGGGGACGGGCCCGAAAGGCAGCGGCGGCACCGCGUCCGGUCCUCGAGCGUAUGGGGCUUUGUCACCCGCUCUUGUAGGCCCGGCCGGCGCUUGCCGACAACAAUCAAUCUUUUUUCAGGUUGACCUCGGAUCAGGUAGGGAUACCCGCUGAACUUAAGCAUAUCAAUA
rnacentral:rRNA from 1 species